AGUACAAAGGAAGAGUGUUCAGUUUAAACGACAAGCCUGUGGUGCAUAAAAUUUGGCUGCCGAAUGAGGAAUGCCCCAGAUUGGCAAUGUCUAGAGCCUUUGGGGACUACUUUAUUAAGGAUUUUGGACUUAUAUCCGUCCCUGAAGUGAGGUGUUGUCACAUAUAACCAGCAGAGACCAAUUUGUUGUGUUGCGAACCGAUGAGUCUUCCCGCUAGGGGCUGGGAAGAGAUAACAACGGGAGCGUCGAUUGCAUGGCUAUCAAGUACAUCAAAUUUGAAUUGGACACAAAAAUGUCGCGAUUCCCUCUCUCCGAUCAGAAACUUCGAAGGCAAAAUUUGUGCGAAAAAGUAUGUGUUUCCAUCUGCUUGUGUGUGUUUAUGUAUGUUCGCCAACCAAUUGAUAUUUUCGGCUUUCUGUUUCGUUGCAAUGAAUUCAAGAAAACGAGAAAAGUUUAAAUUCUUUUAGCUUUUGUAUCGAAUUCCUUUUGAUUUUCUUUCUUUUGUUUGUCUUCGUGAAUUUGUUGGACUUUUGGAUUUACUGUGAACUACGGUUUCUUCGUCUACUAUUUGAAUGUUUCUUUUUUUUAGACGAUAUCUAGUGUUGUUUGCAAUAUCUUUAGAUUUUUGUGGUUGAUGUUCCCAUUAAUUUCUUGGAUUUUGAUUUUUUUUCACGUAAGGGUUUCUUUAGCAUAUUUGGAUGGUUUAUUGUCUACGAAUAUAAGU